rnacentral:siRNA from 1 species
CCAAUUGGCAAUAGGUGGAGAGG